GACCAAUCAGUUGUCUAGACCUGGGAGUUCUGAAUGCGCUGUAUAAGAAGGUCCUGAACAAUAAAACAUGCUGUUUGCUGAGGACCCUCGUGACAAGCACCAUUGUCCAGAUUGCAGACAGAAUAUUGAAGAUAACGCUCUCACCAGCGCCAGUCUAGGGAUGAGCUGUCCCUUGGUGCUCUGAAGGAGAAAAUGGAGGUGCCUUCCUUUCGGAGGCAGCUUAGGACAGUGGGCCACAAAGGUAUCUGAUCCCCGUGCCGGCGGUUCCAGGCACAGUCAAUGAUCUCCUGAGGGCAACUGGGGGAACCUAAAUUAAAAGUGUAGUGCUUUCACUUGACUAUAAUCUGAGUCAGCCUCCUGCAUUUUGCACUUCAGCCAAAUGCUGAGGGUCAGAUGGUAUGGGACUGUCUUAGGUGUCUCUUUGCUCAGUGUGACUCUUUGCACUCUUAUUCCUGUGAUUUCAAAUUUUGCUCAUGUUCUCAAUGUAUUGUCUCCUCAACUGACUCAAUUUCUGAAUUUCAAGCAAAGGGCCAAGUGCCUCAACUAUGGCAUUUCAUUUCCCUUUAUUCAACUUAGUCGUGAAAUAUCAAGCUCUUGCAACGUGCAGCUGUGUUAAGAAGUAAAAAUAAAU